CCGCCUACCGGCCUCCCAGUCAUAUUCUCCUCCGAAGCCGGGCACUAGACCCGCCCCUCAUCUGCAUAGAAUGAACAGAUCGCAACCGCAUGGGUUUCCGCCCGGGACUACAUUUCCCAGGGUAUUGUGCGGCAAGAUUCGGAACGCUCCGAUAAGAACAGCCGUGGGCAAUGGAGCGGUUGGACGCAGUAGAAGGAUGCGGGCCAUUCAGUGAGGAGCUGCAACGGGCGCUUGCCGCGGGUUGACUCUCUGCGCGGCUAUUGGCUGGGACGUCGGCGACGGUUGCGGAUGGCAGUUGGCGGGUGGCCGGUGGUCGCCGGGCGAGACGGAUGGCGCCCUUUUCGUCCCCGCUUGGGGGUGCUGGGAUUCUAUUGUUUUGCUUGUGGCUGAACGACUGCCAGGCUGUGUGGAGAUAUAGAACUUCUGUAGGGAACUACUUUCUGUUCACUACAAGCACAACUGAAAAAUGAAGUUUGCUGUUGCAUCCAAACUGACAAAUUAUAAUUCCAAACCAGAACACAAACAACUAUCAAAUCAAGAUUUACUUUUAAACUUUGUAAUACACAAGUCUGUGGGAGGAAAAACACACAAACUCAAGAGUUGGUUAUAUGUGAUUCCUACUGCAUGUGAACUUCAUCAGCAAAACAAACAAGACAAUGGAGCACUAACAAAGAUUAUUAAAACAUUGUUAUUAGUAAAAUGUAUUGUGUAAAGGCAGGAGUCUGGAGAGUGAUCCUAACCUAUUUCUCAGAUUCAUUCAGUUGGACUUACUUCCGGGAAAGUCCUCUUAGGAUGGCACUGCUAAUGUUUUAAAGAUGCACUACAUUUUUUCCAUUUGUCUAGAUAUAUUUAGAAUACGAAGGAACUUCAUUUGUGGAAUGGGAUGCUCCUGUAUUUUGUAUAAUUGGAAACAUAAGGUAAAAACUGCAAAAGUGUGAAACAGCAUAUGAAUGAAGAGUAUUCAUAUGAAGAUGGCAGCAUCCUCUUUCAAGAAGAUAUGUAUGUUGAAUCUAAAUGUUUUGUGUGUGUUUGUGUGUGGGCACACAAUGUACACAUUAAUUCCUAUUUAAAACUGUAGAUUGUCUUACUACAGGUAACAUUUCUAGAAUUUAGAAAAUAAAUUAGGGGUUAACAUAAACCUUUUUAAAAAAAGAAAAAAAUGAACAUUUGCUUCCUGGCAAUGGGGAGGCUUUUCAGCUUUUUUAGCCUUCUCUGGCCACUGGGAAGCCUCUAACUUAGCGGUGGGGGAAGGCACCAGAAGAGGCACCGUGGCCUUCCUCUUUUGAGUUUGGAUAUGUCAGGCCCUCUAUUCUGGCGUUUCUGCAAUCUUGCAAGCCAGACGACAAGCAGCUCACAAGCUUCUCCAGAAGGCUUUCCUCUCGCCUCCCCCAAAGCAACCUUCUCCGUGAAAUGCUUUCACUUUUGAGAACGUGGAGGAAAGUAAGCAAGUCUGACUGCCAGCAAUACCAAAGUCCAAAACCUUUUAUUUACAGCAGUUAAAAAAACAGGAAAAGAAAACAGUCCUUUAAAUAACUCCACAACUACCUUGAGUCUUAUUACUGACUGGAGUACAAGACCCUUACAAUGCCUCAAGUUUAUAUAGUGAAAGAUGUGCAAAUAAUAUUUUUAUUUAUUUAUUUAUAAUCAGUUUUGUAUACCGCCCCUCCCCCGAAAGGCUCUGGGUGGUGAACAACACAAUAAACAGACAAUUAUAUUAAAACCCCAUUUAAAACAGAGGAUUAAGUAAAAUUACAUCGGCAUCCAGCAUAAAACUUCAUAAACCCACCCUGGAAAGAACAACAAGAGAGCAGAGGCCCCCCAUAGAAAUAAAGGGGCCCAGAAUGUAAAGGGGGAGGGAGAGGGCGCACAUCAGUGGCUGGCCCCUCCAAAAGCCCAGUGGAACAAUUCAGUCUUACAGGCCCUGCGGAACUCUCCAAGA